rnacentral:sRNA from 1 species
GUGGGCUGCAGCGCCGCAGCACCCAACGCAUCUAGCAGGAAGGGAGAGGGAGCUUGCCCCGAAGACCCUCCUGGACCAGCCCCAGGCUCCUGUGCUGGUGAGGCCGAGGGAGAGGGAUGUGGGCAUAGGACACGUAACAGGAUUUCCAUUUUAGAGGCAGCCGGACCUGUCUUCAGGUCCCUUCCUUGGUGAGAGACAGGGGUACGCCAGAGGAAGCUGGGCGCUCGGCCUCCGUGCAGCCUCAUCUCCUGGAAUCUGAGUAUUGGAAACUGGGCUUACCUCGGACACCUCAGCACAGACUCCCAUGGGAAUCCAGGUCACAGCAAAGCAGCCCUGGGCCUCCAUUCUCCUUUAAGCAAGCAUGACAAUCCUCACCUCACUGGGUUUUUAUUAAAACUAGCAAUGACCUUAGAAAGCAAGACAUGACCUCAGCUCCACUUUUGAGGCUGCAGUCCAUUCAGAGAGGUUUCGCAGACUCGGUAGCGGCCAGAACAGACAGCCUGGGCCCCGCCGCAGGCUGAGUCAGAAUCUUUGGGAGUAGUGACCAAGUUCUGCUUUUGGAAAAACCUCUACAGGCGGUUCUGAGAAGUCCAAGGGUUGCUGGGAGAGGUUGGUGAGUGGUGUGGUGAUUACAUGUGUCUUGGAAGCAUCCUGGGCUGGGAUUUGAUGAGAACCCAUUAAGUGGAAGAACCUUCCUUUUAAAAAAGAUCUCUUCAUUCUCUGCCUAGCAGGUUGCACGCCAGGGCCUGUACUGACCACCUCCACGUGCCACUGGGGCUCUAAGGAGG